CAGAGAUUGCCCCAAAUGAUGAUGUAAUUUGGCUUAAGCAAAAUAAUGAGCCUUGGGAACGAGUUGUCGAAAAGUGGAACAGCAGUUUUGAUAUAAGAAACAAGAAAAAUUCCAAGACUGUGCAUGAGUUUAACGAAACGUGGAUUAUCUUAAAGGAUAACAAAGCAGACACACUGAUACUUUUAGAUUUCGAAAGGCAAUAUAAAAAGAAAUCACUAUUUUUUUUCAAAAAUUGGGAACCAUUCUUCUCAAAACUCUUGGUACUAGAAAUAUUGUCUCCAAUGAUGAUGCAAAAACAUUAAUUGAUAGUCUAGAAGAUAUUGCUCUCAAUGACAAAAAAAAAUACCAGUCCAGAUCUACCUAUUAGGUUUUUUCAAUACCACCUAAAGUGAAACAAAUGACGCUGGGGAUAUCGAUAACGUUAUAAGGAAUCAAAAACAGAAGGCUGCCACGCGAAACGACACCGUGCAACUUUACGUGUUGAUUUAAGGACCGCUGCAGAACUAUUCCCAAAUAUAUAUAAUUAUCGAUGACGUUAAGUAUCACAUGCAGUCGACUGCAAAGGCGUUAGAUUUGCUACUCAAAAAAUUUCACGCCUUCCACGCCAAAUAUCCGCAAGUGGCUGAGCAUCUCCAUUUAAUCAUACAGAAGAAAGUGUACCAAAUACACACAGCGUACGAUUCAGUCCCACCGUCAUAAUAGAUGUUUUAAAUUUAGAUAUUUAGUUAACCUGUAAAAUGCUGUGCCACAAGUGCAAAAUUGACCUGUAUAUUAUAUUGUGUGUUUUUCAAACAAUAUAAUAUUUUACAUCUAGAACUUAUUCAUAAGAUAAAAAACUGUUUCCACUGUCCUGUCGAAACUUGUCAGAGAGUUUAUGGGACAAAAUAUUCUUUAAAAGAUCAUUUGACCUUUUUCCACAAAUUGUUUGACAAGCGCCGACUUAACAGUAAGCAAAUUGAAAAACCAUAUAUUUCGAAUUCUCCAAACUGUAGUACCUACUAUCACCGAAACUGAAACAAGCGAGUCAUUGAAGUUAAGCAGUAGGCCUAAGAUGGUCGGUUCUUUAUCAUUUGUCACCAUGCCUGUCACGUUCUAACAAGUAUGUAAGUGCGAAAGUGACGGGCAUAGUGACAAGUGAUAAAAAAGAACCAUGCUACCACUGCAGAUCCACUAACCCGACU